CCUACGGGUGGCAGCAGUGAGGAAUAUUGGUCAAUGGGCGCGAGCCUGAACCAGCCAAGUCGCGUGAGGGAAGACGGUCCUAUGGAUUGUAAACCUCUUUUGUCGGGGAGCAAAAGACGCCACGCGUGGCGUUCCGAGAGUACCCGAAGAAAAAGCCCCGGCUAACUACGGGCCAGCAGCCGCGGUAAUACGUAGGGGGCAAGCGUUAUCCGGAAUUACUGGGUGUAAAGGGAGCGUAGACGGUAAUGCAAGUCUGGAGUGAAAGGCGGGGGCCCACCCCCCGGACUGCUCUGGAAACUGUGUAACUGGAGUGCAGGAGAGGCAGGCGGAAUUCCUGGUGUAGCGGUGAAAUGCGUAGAUAUUAGGAGGAACACCAGUGGCGAAGGCGGCCUGCUGGACUGUAACUGACGUUGAGGCUCGAAAGCGUGGGGAGCAAACAGGAUUAGAUACCCUAGUAGUC
rnacentral:rRNA from 1 species